rnacentral:rRNA from 1 species
UUAAUAGGGCGUUUAUUUGCUGGGAUUAGACCCGAAACCGGGCGAUCUAGCCAUGGCCAGGUUGAAGGUCGGGUAAUACCGACUGGAGGACCGAACCAACUAAUGUUGAAAAAUUAGUGGAUGAGCUGUGGCUAGGAGUGAAAGGCUAAUCAAGCCCGGAGAUAGCUGGUUCUCCGCGAAAGCUAUUUAGGUAGCGCCUCAUACAUGACUGCCGGGGGUAAAGCACUGUUUCGGCUAGGGGGUCAUCCCGACUUACCAAACCGAUGCAAACUCUGAAUACCGGCAAGUUCGAGUAUGGGAGACAGACGGCGGGUGCUAACGUCCGUCGUCGAAAGGGAAACAACCCAGACCGCCAGCUAAGGUCCCUAAUAUCAGUUAAGUGGGAAACGAUGUGGGAAGGCACAAACAGCUAGGAGGUUGGCUUAGAAGCAGCCAUCCUUUAAAGAAAGCGUAAUAGCUCACUAGUCGAGUCGGCCUGCGCGGAAGAUGUAACGGGGCUAAACUGAUAACCGAAGCUGCGGGUUCGCGAACACCCUCGGGUGAUUGCGGACGGUAGAGGAGCGUUCUGUAAGCGGGUGAAGCCAGGUCGGGAGGCCUGGUGGACGUAUCAGAAGUGCGAAUGCUGACAUGAGUAACGAUUAGGGGGGUGAAAAGCCCCCCCGCCGAAAGAUCGAGGUUUCCUGCCCAACGUUAAUCGGGGCAGGGUGAGUCGGCCCCUAAGGCGAGGGCGAAAGCCGUAGUCGAUGGGAAACCGGUUAAAAUUCCGGUACCCGGCUUUGCUGCGAUGGAGGGACGGAGUAGGCUAGACCGGCACGGUGUUGGUUAUCCGUGUUCAAGCGUGUAGGUAGGAAGCUUAGGGAAAUCCGGGCUUCCGUUAAUCUGAGGCGUGAUGACGAUCUUCCCGGGCAACCGGAAAGAGAAGUGGUUGAGGCCAUGCUUCCAGGAAAAUCUUCUAAGCACCAGGCAAAGUUGGACCGUACUUAAACCGACACAGGUGAUCAGGUAGAGGAUACCAAGGCGUUGAGAUAACUUGGGUGAAGGAACUAGGCAAAAUGGUACCGUAACUUCGGGAGAAGGUACGCUCCCUCCGGUGAUCGGACUUGCUCCGUAAGCCGAGGGGAGUCGCAGUGACCAGGUGGCUGCGACUGUUUACUAAAAACACAGCACUCUGCAAACUCGAGAGAGGAAGUAUAGGGUGUGACGCCUGCCCGGUGCCGGAAGGUUAAUUGAUGGGGUUAGCGUAAGCGAAGCUCCUGAUCGAAGCCCCGGUAAACGGCGGCCGUAACUAUAACGGUCCUAAGGUAGCGAAAUUCCUUGUCGGGUAAGUUCCGACCUGCACGAAUGGCGUAAUGAUGGCCACACUGUCUCCACCCAAGGCUCAGUGAAAUUGAAGUUGCUGUUAAGAUGCAGUGUACCCGCGGCUAGACGGAAAGACCCCGUGAACCUUUACUAUAGCUUCACACUGGACUUUGACUGUACUUGUGUAGGAUAGGUGGGAGACUGUGAAAGCAUCGCGCCAGCGUUGCCGGAGUCAACCUUGAAAUACCACCCUGGUGCUGUUGAGGUUCUAACCCAGGUCCCUUGACGGGAUCGGGGACAGUGUGUGGUGGGUAGUUUGACUGGGGCGGUCUCCUCCUAAAGAGUAACGGAGGAGCACGAAGGUACCCUAAGGGCGGUUGGAAAUCGUCUGUAUUGUGUAAUGGCGUAAGGGUGCUUGACUGCGAGAGUGACGAUUCGAGCAGGAGCGAAAGCUGGUCAUAGUGAUCCGGUGGUUCUGUAUGGAAGGGCCAUCGCUCAACGGAUAAAAGGUACUCCGGGGAUAACAGGCUGAUACCGCCCAAGAGUUCACAUCGACGGCGGUGUUUGGCACCUCGAUGUCGGCUCAUCACAUCCUGGGGCUGUAGCAGGUCCCAAGGGUAUGGCUGUUCGCCAUUUAAAGUGGUACGCGAGCUGGGUUUAGAACGUCGUGAGACAGUUCGGUCCCUAUCUGCCGUGGGCGCAGGAGAUUUGCGAAGAGUUGCCCCUAGUACGAGAGGACCGGGGUGAACGAACCGCUGGUGUUCGGGUUGUCUCGCCAGAGGCAUUGCCCGGUAGCUAUGUUCGGACGGGAUAACCGCUGAAGGCAUCUAAGCGGGAAGCCUCCUUCAAGACUAGAUCUCCCUGAGAGCCCAAGCUUCGGCUUAGUCUCUCCUGAAGUGCCGUUGAAGACGACGACGUUGAUAGGCCGGGUGUGUAAGCGCUGUGAGGCGUUGAGCUAACCGGUACUAAUUGCACGUGAGGCUUGAUCGCAUAACC